UGGGUGUCUAGGAAUCCUUCUGGCAAUA
rnacentral:piRNA from 1 species